AUGCCGCCGCAGCAGGGGGAGUGCUGCCGCCACGGGCUUGGCCCUGGCUGCCUCGGCGGGGAGGCCGCGGUCGGCGGUGAGCCGUUCUACGUGCCGCUGCGCAAGCGGCUGUCCGUGGACGGCAAGGCCCCGACGCCGCGGAUAUGCAUCUGGGAGUGCGACGGCGAGGCCGGGGACAUCACCUGCGACAUCGUCGCCGCACCGCUCCGCCGCAGCUGCAGCGCCAAGGCAAUGCCGCCUCUGCCGCCGCCGACCCCGCUCUUCCGGAUGAUGACGCCGCCGCCGCCGAGGCCGCAGAGAGGGGAGGGGGAGGAAACCAGGAGGCCCGCCGGGCAGGCCAUCCGCAAGGGGCAUCGGAGCUACAGCCUGAUGCUCAACCUGCAGCUUGGUAUAAGCUAUUCGGUGGGGAAGUCGUCGGCGCUGCCGUUCCAGAAGCUCGCCGCGUCGGACUUCGACCCGCGAGAGAAGGUAUGGACACGGUUCCCGCCGGAGGGGUCCAAGUUCACUCCGCCGCACCACUCGGUGGAUUUCCGGUGGAAGGACUACUGCCCUGCCGUCUUCAGGCACCUGAGGAAGCUGUUCGGGGUGGACCCCGCGGAGUACAUGCUCGCCAUCUGCGGCAACGACACGCUCCGAGAGCUGGCGUCCCCGGGCAAGAGCGGGAGCUGCUUCUUCAUCACGCAGGACGAUCGGUUCAUGAUUAAAACAGUGAAGAAGUCCGAGGUGAAGGUUCUUAUCAGGAUGUUGCGGAGUUACUAUGAACAUGUUCGUCAGUAUAAGUCCACUUUAUUAACAAGGUUUUACGGCACACAUUGCAUUAAGCAAGCUGGCUGCCCCAAGGUUCGAUUCAUCAUAAUGGGCAAUUUUUGCUGUUCGGAAUAUAAGAUCCAUAGGCGCUUUGAUCUAAAAGGUUCCUCACAUGGUCGGACUAUCGACAAAACAGAGCGGAAGAUUGACGAAACCACUACUCUAAAGGACCUAGAUCUUCAGUAUGCAUUUCGUCUGCAAAGAUUUUGGUACGAGGAGCUCAUGAAGCAAAUUCAGAUGGACUGUACAUUCUUGGAGACGCAGGGAAUUAUGGACUAUAGCCUAUUGUUAGGAGUUCACUUUCGUAAUGAUUACUCAGUAUCUCGGAUAGGCCUAUCUCAGCACAUUGCUUUCCCAAAAUCUACUGGUAAAAGGAAAUCAUUUGAAGGUGGAAGCAAUUUUUGUGAGCUCUGUUUUGUGGAAUCAGGAUGCAAAGAUAGAGAUUUGAUAGACUCUCGGAAGCCAGUCACCCAGCUGGGGAUUAACAUGCCUGCUCAGGCAGAGCGCAGUUCAAAAAGAAUACUGGACAGUUUUCUCCUCAAUGAAAGACACUUGUUCAUAACCACACCAAGUGGAGGAUCAUGUGAUGUCUACCUCUUCUUCGGGAUAAUUGACAUUCUUCAGGACUAUGAUAUAACGAAGAAACUGGAACAUGCCUAUAAAUCCUUCCAAGUCAACUCUGAUUGCAUUUCUGCUGUAGAUCCAAAGCUAUACUCGAGAAGGUUUCAGGAUUUCAUCCGCAGGGUAUUCAUAACAGAACAGUAAGAAAAAGUUAUUGGGUUCAAGGGUAACUAUCCCACUGCUUUUUACAUCAUGAGAUCCAUUGGUGAAGUUUAGGCCAUGAUCGUAUCGCCAAUCCCGAGCAUGCCCUGAAGUAGUGCAAAACUGCAAAUGAUGGUUGGUUUUACCAUAUGCACAGUAUUAUGAAUAAUUGGGGUCAACGAGCUGUGCCGACACGCAUGCUAAUAUUGGAUGGAUGGGAGCUAAAACUAUAUAGCUCUGCCUUUUGGAAGACUUGUAAACUAUGACAAAUUCCAUGGCAGAGAUGUAUGGUGGGUUUUCAAGUAAUGUCAUGUUCAUAGUUCAGAAAAGGAAAAGAAGCUGUUCCUGUAGACAUUUUGGGCUGUAGACAUUGUUGCCUUCUUUGCAAGCAUUUUGCAGCUCGUGCCUGCUGCUGUUGCUGUGACCACAGUCGAGUGAGGGCAAUGUCAGUGUGUCACUUGUACAGUUGUAGUGUACCAUCAACGGCCUUGUGAACGGGAGGAGAAAUAAAGCAGAAGGGAGGCGACAGGCAUCAAAAGAAGAGAAAGCAGGUGAAGGGAAGAUGCUGGGACAGAUCUGGUCUGCUCCUGUGACUUGUGUCGACUAUGCUAUAAAACAUUUCCUUCCCUGUCCUUCUCUCUGCAUUACCUGGCCUUUUCUCGGCUUUACUUUGUUUCCCAUGCCAAGCCUAGCCAUUUCUCCUUCUCCCUCCUGUGCUCUUUUUGCUAGUAGUCCAUUUCUCCUUCUCCCUCCUGUGUUCUUUUUGCAUGCUUUGGUUUGGAGCCAUGACUAGUGUGGAGCAGACCAGGUGGGAAGAAAUUCAGAAAUUACGGGGUGAUAUGCAUGAUGCUUUCACGCAUGACGCAUCCUAUACUACGCCUAUGAAAUGCAUGACUGAUCUGACUCCGCCGUGGUGGUAAAACAGGAGUGCACUAUAUAGUUAUUGUAUUUUUACUCCUACAAUUGGCACUGCAUGUUGUGAUGUUCUCUGUUGUGUCGGAGUGCACAACUUGGGCACGUACCCUAGUUAUUGUUUCUUUUUACUCCUUGAAUUGGCAUUGCAUGCUGUGAUGUUCUCUGCUGUAUGUCCUCAACUCCUCAUAACCUCAUGUUGAUGUAUACGGCAUCAAGGU